rnacentral:rRNA from 1 species
CCUACGGGCGACAGCAGUGGGGAAUAUUGCACAAUGGGGGAAACCCUGAUGCAGCGACGCCGCGUGAGUGAAGAAGGAUUUCGGUAUGGAAAGCUCUAUCAGCAGGGAAGAAGAAAGACGGUACCUGACCAAGAAGCCCUGGCCAACUACGUGCCAGCAGCCGCGGUAAUACGCAGGGGGCAAGCGUUAUCCGGAUUUACUGGGUGUAAAGGGAGCGUAGACGGCUGUGCAAGUCGGAAGUGAAAGCCCAGGGCUCAACCCUGGGACUGCUUUGGAAACUGUGGAGCUAGAGUGCUGGAGAGGUAAGUGGAAUUCCUAGUGUAGCGGUGAAAUGCGUAGAUAUUAGGAGGAACACCAGUGGCGAAGGCGGCUUACUGGACAGUAACUGACGUUGAGGCUCGAAAGCGUGGGGAGCAAACAGGAUUAGAUACCCCUGUAGUC